rnacentral:tRNA from 1 species
GCAGUAGUAGUAUAGUGGUAAUACUUUAGCUUCCCAAGCUAAUAUCCUGGGUUCAAUCCCCAGCUACUGCA